UAUAUUGUUACAGACAGAGCAGCAACCACGGAGAUAAUUAGCAAAGACCUAGGUCGGACUGUGGAGCUCACCGGAGAAACAGAGACACCAGAGGUCAACCCAACAACUUCCGUUGAGAAGUUGGGAAUCGUCCAGACCCAACUCCAAAUAGGGGACCGCCCGACCCGAAUAAGAAAACCCUCGAUUUGGGUUACAGACUACGUCCAAUGAAGGCUGAUUAUGGGGCAUUUGCAGCAACACCCUCGAACAUCUAUAAUUAGAUUUAAGUCGUUUAAGUUUAUAUAUUUGAUUAUUGUAACCCCUUAUAUAAGGGAAAACAUUUGGAUUUUACAUUAUCGAUAAAAUUUUAUAGCAAUUCCCACAUUCACUCCUCUCGACGAUCAUCCAGACGUUACGUCUGAGUACCUGCCGCUCCGUCUCCGCCUCCGACGUCGUCGAUCGUUCUACCCGUCUCUGUGGCUCCGAUCUAUCCAUAGAUCUCUCCACCGGUUCUAUCGCAAAUCUUACGCAAAAGCCUUCGUCUUUUUGUAUCUAGAUCGUACUCCAAUCUGAGAUCGGAGACACCUCACCGGUGUCAGGUCCAUAUUCUUCCUGUCGGAAUUUAGUGGAACAUUGAUUCGGAUUUAGCCGUAUCAACUGGUGCUUUCAAAAUUAUUGAUCUCUAUUUCAGGGAAUUCUAGAAAUGGAAGCGGUAGAAGCAACUCUCAAGAGGAUGCAGGAUUUUCAACUCUCUCAAACGCGAGAGAUGACAGAGUUAAGGAAUUUGGUGCACAACAAUACACUACAGCUAGGUAAACAGAUGACAGAUCUGGCAGCUUCCAUCACUGAUGGUAGAGGGAGUGCUUCAACGGCAAUGAUUCAGCAGCCAAGGCAUAAUGAACAAAAAAUAAUCGAUCCGGAUAUAGAUCCAGAAAGGCCCAAAUAUGCAGCGUGUAUGUAUGAUAAUCGAGAGUACAUACUAUCCAAGCACAUCAAGUUCGAUAUGCCCAGAUUUGAUGGUACAAAUCCAGAACUGUGGGUGUUCAUGGCAAGGAGAUUCAUCAUCUUUCACAAUACCCCAGAAGAAUAGAAACUUAUAAUUGCAUCCUUCAAUAUGCAAUGUAUAGCUCUCAAAUGGUUUUUGUGGAUGGAGGCAAGCAACUACUUGACUACUUGGCCAGCCUUUGUGAAGUCCCUAUUAAAAAAAUUUAACCCCACUACCUAUACUAUUCCAGGGGGCAGACUGAGCACACUAGUGCAAACAUCAACUGUAGUCGAUUAUGUGGUAAAAUUUGAAGAUUAUUCUGCCAAAGUAACAGGAAUCCCUGAUUGGUUACUUCUUGAAAUAUUUUUAUCAGGACUUAAAGAUGAUACUCAGAAGGAGGUGGUGAGAGCCAAGCUUGAUGACAUCCAAGAGGCUAUAGAGCUAGCUGUUCAUUUAGAGCUCCAGGGUUCAUCUCCAGCAGGCCAGAGAAUUGGAGGAUUUAAAUCUAAUUUUUCCAGAGCACUUAUCACCAAGCCUCGAGGAGAAAACUUUUCUCAAUUAGCAAUUACUGCAGGAGGGGCAGGUGGAACUGUAGGACAGAUCAAACCAGCAAUGGCACCAACCUUUAGAAGGCUUACUUUUGCAGAGAAGAAGGAAAGGACCUCUAAGGGGCUAUGUUUUAAUUGUGACGACAAAUUCACACUAGGUCACAAGUGCAAGGGCAAAUUUUUCAGAUUGUGUGCAGAGGACAACACCCUAUGGGAAGUGGAAGAUGAAGAAGAGGAAGUAGCUGGAGAAAUUAAAUUCCUCGAAUGUGAGGAGGAAUCUGAAAUUAGGUUCCAAGCCUUACAAGGAAGAAUAGGAGUAAGAACUAUAAGGCUAGAGGGCUUUAUUAAAAGCCAGUCUGUCAGUGUAUUGAUUGAUCCAGGCUCCACUCAUAAUUUUGUCCAAGAAGAAGUUGCAUCACAAUUACAAUUGGUAAUUUGUUAUAUUAACCCCUUUAAGGUGUCCACAGGUAGUGGAAAAAAGCUUACAUGUGAUAAAGUCUGCAAGGGGGUCAAUCUGAAAAUUCAGGGAAUUAUGGUAGAAAUUGAUCUUUUUCUUCUACCUUUGGCAGGUUCUAAUGUAGUAAUUGGCACACAAUGGCUCAAGGACUUGGGUGAUGUCGUCUUCAACUACAAAGACUUGAGUAUGAAAUUCUGUUGGAAGGGGCAGCAAGUAGAAUGGAAAGGGAUCUCAUGGCUGAAUAGCAAUCCCCCAACAACUGGUGAACUGAAAUCCUUAGUGGGAGAGACCUCUGAAGCCUUUUUGUGUUACUUUGAAAAGGUGGAGGAAGAGCUUAACAACCUGAGUUCAGCAGAAGAGAAUAAAAAAAUUAGUGAGGUGGUGAAUGAAUUUCAAGAAGUGUUUGAGGAACCCCAUGGGUUACCCCCACAAAGAGAGAAUGAUCACUUCAUCCAUCUUCAGCCAAAUUCAGAUUCUGUCAAUGUCAGACCAUACAGAUACCCUCAGUAUCAGAAGGAAAAGAUUGAGAAGGUAGUAAAGGAGUUACUCCUCCAGGGUACCAUCAAACCCAACACUAGCCCCUAUUCUUCUCCAGUGUUACUAGUCAAGAAGAAAUAUGGAGGGUACAGGUUGUGUGUGGAUUAUAGGGUACUGAAUGCUAUCACCAUCAAGGAUAAGUUCCCUAUUCCAACUGUAGAUGAACUGUUGGGAGAACUGAAAGACUCGGUAAUUUUUUCUAAACUUGAUUUGAGGUCAGGUUUCCACUAAAUCAGAAUUAAUCCUUCUGACACCGAAAAAACAGCCUUCAGGACCCACCAGGCACAUUAUGAAUUUCUUGUAAUGCCCUUUGGUCUUACCAAUGCCCCGACUACUUUUCAGUGUAUAAUGAACCAGGUAUUCCAGGAAUUCUUUAAAAAAUUUGUCCUAAUUUUCUUUGAUGACAUAUUGAUCUACAGUUCAACCGUGGAGGGUCAUAUAGAACAUCUGAAAUUAGUGUUUGAGAUACUCAAGAAAAAUCAGUUAUUGGCCAAGAAGUCUAAAUGUUUAUUCGGGCAGUCCUUUAUAGGGUUUCUAAGGCACAUUAUCUCCCAAGAAGGUGUCAAUCUGGACCCUAACAAAAUCAAAGCAAUAAUGGAUUGGCCCAUACCAAAGACAAUUAAAUAGUUGAGAGGCUUUUUGGGGCUAAGUGGAUAUUAUAGAAGGUUUGUCAGAUCAUAUGCUCAGAUUGCCACCCCACUAACUAAUCUGCUCAAGAAAGACUCUUUUCUAUGGACUAAAGAAGCUACCACAAGUCUCCAAAAAUUAAAAGAAGCCUUAACCCAAGUUCCAAUAUUGCAAUUUCCUGAUUUUGAAAAGGAAUUUGUGGUAGAAACUGAUACUUACAACUCAAGUAUUGGUGCUGUAUUAUUGCAGGACAGCCACCCCAUUGCCUUUUAUAGCAGUAAAAUUAGUGGAAGAAUGGAAGCAGCAUCAGUUUAUGUAAAAGAAUUAUUUGCCAUCACCCAAGCUGUGGGUAAAUGGAGGCAUUACUUGUUGGGUAGGCACUUCACCAUAAAGACUGACCACAGAAGCCUCAAAAAUUUACUCACGCAAGUGAUCCAAACCCCAGAGCAACAAGUGUUCCCUUGUAAGUUGAUUGGGUAUGACUUCACCAUUAUCUACAAGCCAGGCAAGUAUAAUCAGGUUGCAGAUGCCUUAUCAAGAUGUUUUGAAGAGGAGGGUGAUAUAUUAUAUUCUAGUAAAAUGGAAGUAGAGGAGGGAACCCUACUGGCCUUUUCUGCACCUCUCAACUGUAUAAUUUCUGAACUCCGUGAAUUCAACAAAGCCUCACCGGAGAUCCAAACACUAGUACAAAAUAUCAAAGAAAAACAUCUGCAAUCACAAGGGUAUGAAAUUAAGAAUGGAUUAAUUUUCUGCAAGGGAAGAUACUCAAGCAAUUCUGAUUUUAUACUCAAACUGUUGAAAGAAUUCCACGACAGUUAUAUAGGGGGCACUCAGGAAUUGAUAGAACUUUCAACAGAAUUUCCACUAAUUUUUGGUGGAAGGGCAUGAUGAAAGACAUCAGAAAUUACGUUAAAAACUACAUAAUAUGCCAGAAGAUAAAGCCAAUCAAUCUCAAGAGUGGUGGGUUACUUAUGCCUCUACCUAUUCCACCUUCAGUUUGGCAUGAUUUAUCAGUCGGCUUCAUCACUCAUCUUCCUAAAGUUCAGAAUAAGUCCGUGAUCAUUGUAGUGGUUGACAGGUUAUCAAAGGGGUGUCAUUUGGGGGCUCUGCCUGCCAAUUAUAAUGCACAGAUGGUGGCUGAUUUUUUCGUCAAGGAAAUCAUAAGACUUUAUGGCUAUCCUAAUUCAAUAGUCUUGGAUAGAGACAAGGUCUUUACAUCAAAUUUCUGGAGGGAGUUAAACAAAUUAAGUGGAACUAAGCUGAAUUUUACAUCAUCCUAUCAUCCACAAAGCGAUGGUCAAACUGAAGUAGUGAAUAGAGGAGUUGAAAUGUAUCUCAAAGCACUUGCACAUGACAAGCCUUAAAAAUGGCUAUAACUCUUACCUUGGGCAGAACUAUGGUUUAAUACCAAUUUUAAUGAAUCCCUUGGAAGCACCUCAUUCAAAGUAUUGUAUGGAAAAGAUGCUCCAAUCUUUCCUCAAUUUAUACCAGUAGAUUCCUCCAUCGAGGCAGUGGAAGUCAAUUUGCAAGAGAGGAAUAAGGCAUUGAAAAAUAUCAAAACUAAUCUCUCCAGAGCACAAAACAGAAUGAAGAAAAAUGCUGAUAAGCAUAGAAGGGAGAUAGAAUUCAAAGAAGGUGAUCUAGUACUAGUGAAAUUACAACCAUACAGACAAUCAUCUACUGCCUACAGGUUUCACAACAAGUUAUGUUUGAAAUAUUUUGGACCAUUCAAGGUUAAAGAGAAGAUCAGCUCAGUGGCUUAUAAGCUAGAACUUCCAGCCGGAAGCAAGAUUCAUGAUAGUUUCCAAUCUCCAAACUUAAAGAAUUCGUUGGGACAACUCCAACUACUGUGGAUCCAUCACCACUAUUGUCAGUGGACAAUCAACCUAUACUAUACCCUAUCUCUAUUAUUGAUUACAGGUGCAUUGAUCGAAAUGGGAAGAAGAUACCUCAAUCUCUUGUGUUGUGGAGCGACGCCCUAAUGGAGGACUCUUCUUGGGAGGACGACCUGGAGUUGCAGCGUGCGUUUCCCUCUAUACACCUUGAGGACAAGGUGAAUCCUUGGGGAGGUGGCCAUGUUAAAGACAGAGCAGCAACCACGAAGAUAAUUAGCAAAGACCUAGGUUGGACUGUGGAGCUCACCGGAGAAACAGAGAUACCGGAGGUCAACCCAACAACUUCCGUUGAAAAGUUGGGAAUCGCCCAGACCCAGCUCCAAAUAGGGGACCGCCCGACCCGAAUAAGAAAACCCUCGAUUUGGGUUACAGACUACGCCUAAUGAAGGUUGAUUAUGGGGGCAUUUGCAGCAACACCCUC
rnacentral:lncRNA from 1 species